rnacentral:rRNA from 1 species
UGCGUAGGCGGGGCAAUAAGUCAGUGGUGAAAUCCUGCGGCUUAACCGUAGAACUGCCAUUGAUACUGUUGCCCUUGAGUAUAGUUGAGGUGGGCGGAAUAUGUAAUGUAGCGGUGAAAUGCAUAGAUAUUACAUAGAACACCAAUUGCGAAGGCAGCUCACUAAGCUAUCACUGACGCUGAGGCACGAAAGCGUGGGGAGCGAACAGGAUUAGAUACCCUGGUAGUCC